rnacentral:tRNA from 1 species
GGCUCAGUGGUAGAGCACUUGCCUUGCAUGCAUGAGGCCGUGGGUUCGAUUCCUC